UACGGAGGGUGCAAGCGUUAUCCAGAUUUACUGGGUUUAAAGGGUGCGUAGGUGGGUUGGUAAGUCAGUGGUGAAAUCCCCGGGCUUAACUUGGGAACUGCCAUUGAUACUAUCAGUCUUGAAUACCGUGGAGGUCAGCGGAAUAUGUCAUGUAGCGGUGAAAUGCUUAGAUAUGACAUAGAACACCAAUUGCGAAGGCAGCUGGCUACCCGAAUAUUGACACUGAGGCACGAAAGCGUGGGGAUCAAACAGG
rnacentral:rRNA from 1 species